AAGAGAAAAACAUAAAACGCUUAUAUAUUCAUGAAGUACAAAAUCCCAUACUAUGACUUACAUGUAAAAGCACAAGACGAUACCCACACUUUAUGUGCAGUAGACUCCAACGUCUCUGCGCCAUCACUUCAGCCACCUUCAUUGGCCACAUUGUAUUAAAGUUGCCACUAUUUUUUAUCCGUCUGAGAUCUAUACUCAUUUACAUCCGUCAGAUCUAAUAUCUCGCAAUCUUCCUUUUAUCUUUCUACUUUCCUAUUGCUCUUGUUAAAGCAUCGUUCUCAAAAGUUGAGAUGACUAUUUUUCAAUUCUCCUUGUUUAAGGGUGAAAAUGAAUUUAUAUGCAUCUCAAUAUCUGACCAUGUAAUUCAAGCAUAAACUCUGCAAAUUGGAAGAAUCUAAAUUAUGAUUUAAACUUAACAAACCUCUCCUGAUAGAGCAUAUACAUGUGAUCUCCCAUAAGGAAGAAGUUGAAAGUGUCAUUUGUUUAUUUUUUUACUGAACGCCUCUUCUCAUGCAAUCAAUUAGAUGAAGAUUGUAUAUUGUGGGAUUAACAGCUAAUCUGACAUGGUCAAUGUAUUGUAUUACACCUAAGUAUUUGUUGAUAAAUGAUGAACUUGUAUUUAAUAUGAGUAAGCACAACUUAAAAGAACCUGAUAUAGUCAAUGUGCACAAUGAAGAAAAAGAACAAUAGAAUUUCAUCGCUAAGCAUUAGCAUGAAUUUUAUAUACAGGCACGUUUUGGGGGUGAAGGGAAACAGAAGAGGAGAAAUGCAGGCGAGCAGUCAAAUCCAAAGUUCUCACACCAAUUAUAUUUAACCAGUACAUUAUACAAACAACAUCAUUUUAUAUGUGAAAGCAAUGCGUGCAACUGCUGAACGACCAGUCAAACAAAGAUUAAGAGAAUUAUUUCUUGGCUUAAAAGAGUUGUCAUGUGACUCUUACUAUGACCAAAAUUCUAUAUACACAAGCUGGUGCGCAAUUACACAACAUGAUUCCUAAGAUUCCUAUUCAGAGAAUGUGCAGAUACAUAUAGAGGCUUCAAUUUGCACAUACAUGACCGCUGCACUAAAAGAUGCAAAGUUCAGUGCUACAACGACUAAAAAUCAGACAGAAAUCCUGAAUACUGUAUAUAAAGAUAAUUGAACACCAACCAAACAUAAAAAAACACAAUUCUCAAAACCAGAAAGAGGAGAAAGAAGAGGAAUUCGACCUAAAGACUAAAGUUAAGCAAGAAUCAGUAAAUCAACACAGAGAUACAGUAAGAAAACAGAAUAUGAGAGAAAAAUUAUAAUGAAAUCAGAAGAGGAAAUCAAAUUAAAAAGUAUUGAAGAGGAAAAGAAGAAUUUUACCUUUGUGAUGGGGAGGAAGAAGAGGAAAAGCAAAAAGAGUUGGAGAUUUAGCUCGAAAGGAAGAAUUACAAUAACCAGUAUACUCUCAUCAGAGCUGCUGGGUCGAGAGACAAACCUUAGCCUAUCCGAAUAAAAAAGGCUGUUUUCAAUCCACCCGUCACCCCGGCUCACAUUAAGAGGAUUAAUUACGUUUCGGGAAAAUGGAAUAGAUUAAGGGUGUGUUUGGUAACUGUUGAAAUGGUAACUGUUGAUUAUUGCUAACUGAU
rnacentral:lncRNA from 1 species